rnacentral:rRNA from 1 species
GAUGAACGCUGGCGGCGUGCCUAAUACAUGCAAGUCGAGCGAACAGACGAGGAGCUUGCUCCUCUGACGUUAGCGGCGGACGGGUGAGUAACACGUGGAUAACCUACCUAUAAGACUGGGAUAACUUCGGGAAACCGGAGCUAAUACCGGAUAAUAUAUUGAACCGCAUGGUUCAAUAGUGAAAGACGGUUUUGCUGUCACUUAUAGAUGGGUCCGCGCCGCAUUAGCUAGUUGGUAAGGUAACGGCUUACCAAGGCGACGAUGCGUAGCCGACCUGAGAGGGUGAUCGGCCACACUGGAACUGAGACACGGUCCAGACUCCUACGGGAGGCAGCAGUAGGGAAUCUUCCGCAAUGGGCGAAAGCUUGACGGAGCAACGCCGCGUGAGUGAUGAAGGUCUUCGGAUCGUAAAACUCUGUUAUUAGGGAAGAACAAAUGUGUAAGUAACUAUGCACGUCUUGACGGUACCUAAUCAGAAAGCCACGGCUAACUACGUG